UGUAGAGAGGGCCUCUCGGAUGCCUGUGUAGAAUCCUAAUUAAAUUACCUCAUUAGGCGAGGCUCGGCGUUAACACCUACUGUUGCCUUAACUGUCCCCUUUCAUCUCCACCUUUUCCAGGCGUUUGCGUCGCUCUGAUCUCGGGUCUGUGAUUGCACCUUUUUGUGUCUUGAAUUUCCAUGUAAAUUCUCCUCUGAUGAGCGCUUUCCCGCUGACUGCCUCCCGCUCCGGGGGAAGAAGUAAAUACUAAUCCUGUGGGAAAUGCUCCGGUGGGAAGCUGGGACGGCAUGACAUCACUCACUAUAGAUGUUAUACCCUGCGUUCCUCUUCAGCAGUGCAGUAAAUGACUAAAAUGCACAGGUCUUAAUAUCGCUAGCCCCGCUGCUUCCUUCCAAGCCACCCAAGGGAAAUGUUUGUGUUUUCUGAACAGUUCCCUUAGCGUGGCUGCAGUUCCACCCCCAUCCUCCAGAGGGCAGACUUGUAUCACCUAAGGCUUGCCAGUCCCUGUACUGUAGCUGGGAAGUUUGGGUUUGACAAGCAACUGCAGUGAAGAAACACUGAAGGCAAAGUGCUGGUACAACUCCCCACAGAGAGGAGAGUGUUUUGUGAUGCGGGUGGUGAAAGACUAGGGAAAUCUAGUCUGGCAGCGCUGCUGUAGGCCCAAAAAUCUGGCCUUUUACUCAUUUUGUCAUUGUUGCAUAACCCACAACACUGAUUAAUUUUAUGAACAAUGUUUUCAAUUAGGUCCCCAUCCGUUUGAGUUGUUCACGAUAUCUCUUCCCACUAGCAAGUAUUUCUGCUUAGGUUUUUUUGUGCAUAUUGCCCAAACACAGCCUCACAAGACAAUGACACACAAAAUGAUUGACAGGCCUAUCUUCAGACAUCUGCAGGCCUUAUUUUCAGACAGAUACACCCUUCAAAAGAUCCUCUAUUGAGUUCACCAUUUGAGCAGGAAAGGGAGUGAGAGAGGAGAGUGAGUCGGCAGUUUUGCAGCGUGCCCUCUCACACUAGCCUUGUUGUUCCAGCCGGUCCAGGCUGUCAGUGGGCCUGUCUGACCUCUGACCUCCUGUACCUCAGCAUGAGGAAGUGGUUAGGCAGCCCAAUAACAAGGUCUGGUGGAGAGACUGAAACCAGAGCUGAAGUACUUG
rnacentral:lncRNA from 1 species